rnacentral:rRNA from 1 species
GACGAACGCUGGCGGCGUGCUUAACACAUGCAAGUCGAACGGAAAGGCCUCUUUCGGGGGGUACUCGAGUGGCGAACGGGUGAGUAACACGUGAGUAACCUGCCCUUGACUUUGGGAUAACUUCAGGAAACUGGGGCUAAUACCGGAUAGGAGCUCUUGCUGCAUGGUGGGGGUUGGAAAGUUUCGGCGGUUGGGGAUGGACUCGCGGCUUAUCAGCUUGUUGGUGGGGUAGUGGCUUACCAAGGCUUUGACGGGUAGCCGGCCUGAGAGGGUGACCGGCCACAUUGGGACUGAGAUACGGCCCAGACUCCUACGGGAGGCAGCAGUGGGGAAUAUUGCACAAUGGGUGGAAGCCUGAUGCAGCAACGCCGUGUGCGGGAUGACGGCCUUCGGGUUGUAAACCGCUUUCGCUCAUGACGAAGCUUUGUGUGACGGUAGUGGGUAAAGAAGCACCGGCUAACUACGU